rnacentral:rRNA from 1 species
GACGAACGCUGGCGGCGUGCCUAAUACAUGCAAGUCGAGCGAGCUUGCCUAGAUGAUUUUAGUGCUUGCACUAAAUGAAACUAGAUACAAGCGAGCGGCGGACGGGUGAGUAACACGUGGGUAACCUGCCCAAGAGACUGGGAUAACACCUGGAAACAGAUGCUAAUACCGGAUAACAACACUAGACGCAUGUCUAGAGUUUGAAAGAUGGUUCUGCUAUCACUCUUGGAUGGACCUGCGGUGCAUUAGCUAGUUGGUAAGGUAACGGCUUACCAAGGCAAUGAUGCAUAGCCGAGUUGAGAGACUGAUCGGCCACAUUGGGACUGAGACACGGCCCAAACUCCUACGGGAGGCAGCAGUAGGGAAUCUUCCACAAUGGACGAAAGUCUGAUGGAGCAACGCCGCGUGAGUGAAGAAGGGUUUCGGCUCGUAAAGCUCUGUUGGUAGUGAAGAAAGAUAGAGGUAGUAACUGGCCUUUAUUUGACGGUAAUUACUUAGAAAGUCACGGCUAACUACGUGCCAGCAGCCGCGGUAAUACGUAGGUGGCAAGCGUUGUCCGGAUUUAUUGGGCGUAAAGCGAGUGCAGGCGGUUCAAUAAGUCUGAUGUGAAAGCCUUCGGCUCAACCGGAGAAUUGCAUCAGAAACUGUUGAACUUGAGUGCAGAAGAGGAGAGUGGAACUCCAUGUGUAGCGGUGAAAUGCGUAGAUAUAUGGAAGAACACCAGUGGCGAAGGCGGAUGACUGGACGGCAACUGACGCUGAGGCGCGAAAGCGUGGGUAGCGAACAGGAUUAGAUACCCCGGUAGUCCACGCUGUAAACGAUGGAUACUAGGUGUGCGGGGACUGACCCCCUGCGUGCCGCAGUUAACACAAUAAGUAUCCCACCUGGGGAGUACGAUCGCAAGGUUGAAACUCAAAGGAAUUGACGGGGGCCCGCACAAGCGGUGGAUUAUGUGGUUUAAUUCGAAGCAACGCGAAGAACCUUACCAGGGCUUGACAUGGAGAGGACCGCUCUAGAGAUAGGGCUUUCCCUUCGGGGACUUCUCACACAGGUGGUGCAUGGUUGUCGUCAGCUCGUGUCGUGAGAUGUUGGGUUAAGUCCCGCAACGAGCGCAACCCCUAUUGUUAGUUGCUACGCAAGAGCACUCUAGCGAGACUGCCGUUGACAAAACGGAGGAAGGUGGGGACGACGUCAAAUCAUCAUGCCCCUUAUGUCCUGGGCUACACACGUAAUACAAUGGCGGUCAACAGAGGGAUGCAAAGCCGCGAGGCAGAGCGAACCCCAAAAAGCCGUCCCAGUUCGGAUCGCAGGCUGCAACCCGCCUGCGUGAAGUCGGAAUCGCUAGUAAUCGCGGAUCAGCAUGCCGCGGUGAAUACGUUCCCGGGCCU